AGCCAAAUAGUAUAGUAUAGAGAAUGAAAGCAGAAAUAUAAAAUACAAUGUAGGGUGGCUAGGAGUCGUAGAGUAUUUGCUUCUUGUUUGUAAGGAUGUACAAUUAUUUAUUUACAUAUAUACUUUCUCUUGCUUCAAAAGAAAAGAGAGAAUAGAGCAUUGAUAUUGGCUAGUUGAUAGUGUUAAUUCAGAUGCAGGUAACUUUCUGGCGCUCUUGUCUGGUGUCAUGGUUUGUGGAGGCAAAGCAAAGACUUUUUUAUAUUAUAUAUAUAGAUAAACCGAUGAAUAUGCUUCUGUAGCUAUAUAUAAAAGAAGACAUUAAUGAUUUGAUGUGAGAGAGACGUACAAUGACCUAAUCCUCUGCUGGGGAGUAGUGACUCAAACUCACACUCACUUCACUACACCCCAUACAACAUUAUACUAUGUUGCUUUUACACUGUAAAUUUGCAUAUUCUUUUCUUAAAGCUCUGAUAAACUCACAGAAUCCCAUAUGCCAAAAAAAGAGAGUCCUUUUUCCCCUGUCUGCAUCAUAGAUAGAGAGUGAGUGACCUUGUGGAGACCACUCUAGCUAUUCUCAUUUGCCAUCAUCAUCACUCAUCAGUUAAAUCACCCCCCCCAUUGAUGCUAAAAGUAACUUUUCAAAUUUCAUAGGCAAAAUCCUGCAGAUAAUGUGAGUAUUUUCCAUUUCAGUGAGACUUGAGAUGAGGCAAAUUAAUCGCCUAAGAUAGCUCCUCAAGCAUAUAUCCACCACUCCUUCAACUUUUGCUAUAAUUUUCUGACAUAUACAUGGCCAUGUACGUAUUCCCUCCUCUAACUUUAGCCAUUCAUCAUUGGACCCGCUAAGAGAGGAUGGGAAGUGGGACUGAAUAAAAACAUCAUCACUACAUUGCACAUACAUACAUACAUGCAUGUGCUACAAUCCUACUAUCCGCAACCGCAAAAUACCUAUAAAACAGAACAAACAUACAAUACAAAGAGUAAAUCUCGUUCUGCAAGUCUGUAUUGGAUUGUAUACAUGAUGAAAAUAAACAAGAAACACAGCAUAGGUGUAGACUGUAGAGAGUAAUAAUUAAUCCAA
rnacentral:lncRNA from 1 species